rnacentral:rRNA from 1 species
AAUCAACGCUGGCGGCGUGCCUCAGACAUGCAAGUCGAACGAUUAAGACUCUCUUCGGAGAGUGUAUAAAGUGGCGCACGGGUGAGUAACACGUAAGUAAUCUACCUUUGAGUGGGGAAUAACGUUCGGAAACGGACGCUAAUACCGCAUAAUGCAGCGGCACCUAAUGGUGACAGUUGUUAAAGGAGCAAAUCCGCUUAAAGAGGAGCUUGCGGCAGAUUAGCUAGNGGUAAGUAAUGGCUUACCAAGGCUACGAUCUGUAACCGGUCUAAGAGGACGGUCGGUCACACUGACACUGAAUAACGGGUCAGACUCCUACGGGAGGCAGCAGUCGGGAAUUUUGGGACAAGUGGGACGAAAGCCUGACCCAGCAACGCCGCGUGAAGGAUGAAGU